UCCAUGCUGUUUUCCCUUUAUUAUCCAAGUAUGUUUUUCAAAUCCAUUACAUUUCAGUCAGUGGAAAUGUCUGCUGAUCUUUGAAGUGUGCGUCGUCCGUCCGCAGGAAUCCCUCUGCCCUCGGGCUCCGUGGACGUGGUGGUCUGUGAUGUCCCCUUUGGAAGGAAGUUCAGCUGCGGCUCCAGCAUGGCUGCCGCUCUGCCAGAGAUAGUCAAAGAGAUGGAGAGAGUUCUCUGUGUUGGUGGGUCUCUUGUGCUUCUCGUGAGCCUCCAGCUCUCUACUCUCCUAAAGAAGAGAAUCCCCAAGGAUGCCCCCGCCCCACACACACCCAGCUCCACACGCUGCCCUGCCUCAGACGCCCUCCUCAGCUCAGAGACGCACACCUGCGCGACAUCCACCCACCAUGGAGACGCACGGCCCUCAGACCGCACCGCACCGCAGCCCUUCCUUUCUCUCCAUACAAACAGCUUUCACAAAGUCGGCCUUGGCAACACAGACGCAAUAAUACACACUUACACCAAGACCCGCGGACACUGAUGACAGCCACCCAUAUGACAUGCACAGUGAAUGAUCAAUGAUGUUUAUAUUUUAUAUAAAUAAAACUGCUCUCUUGUUUUA